GGGUUGUUAGCUCAGUGGUAGAGCAGCUGGCUUUUAACCAGUUAGCCACAGGUUCGAAUCCUGUACAACCCACCA
rnacentral:tRNA from 1 species